ensembl:snRNA U2 U2 spliceosomal RNA
AUCGCUUCUUGGCCUUUUGGCUAAGAUCAAGUGUAGAACAGAAAAUCUUCUUCGUGUACUGACAUUAGUCUAUUUAAAUAAAGAUCAAAAUGGUUUAUCCAGAGACAUCUGACCACACUCUUCCCAAUUAGAUUAAUAUACCUUCUAAUUAGCAGGAAAUAUUU